rnacentral:lncRNA from 1 species
AUGUGUUACCCCGCUCAGCAGUGUUGUGUGAUGUGUUACCCCUCUCAGGCAGGUUGUGUUGAUGUGUACCCCUCUCAGGCAGUGUGUGUGUUGAUGUGUAACCCCUCUCAGGCAGUGUGUGUGUGUGAUGUGUAACCCCUCUCAGACAGUGUGGUGGUGAUGUGUACCCCUCUCAGACAGUGUGUGUGAUGUGUAACCCCUCUCAGGCAGUGUGUGUGUAGUGAUGUGUAACCCCUCUCAGGCAGUGGUGUGUGUAUGGUAUGUACCCCUCUCAGUGUGUGUGUGAUGUGUAACCCCUCUCAGACAGUGUUGUGUGAUGUGUAACCCCUCUCAGCAGUGGUGUGUGUGAUGUGUAACCCCCUCAGGCAGUGUGUGUGUGAUGUGUAACCCCUCUCAGGCAGUUGUGUGUUGUGAUGUGUAACCCCUCUCAGGCAGUGUGUGAUGUGUAACCCCUCUCAGACAUGUGUGUGUGAUGUGUAACCCCUCUCAGACAGGGUGUGUGUGAUGUGUAACCCCUCUCAGACAGUGUGUGUGGAUGUGUAACCCCUCUCAGACAGUGUGUGUAUGUUGAUGUGUAACCCUCUCAGACAGUGUGUGUGUGAUGUGUAACCUCUCAGACAGUGUGUGGGUAUUGAUGUUAACCCCCUCAGACAGUGUGUGUGUAUGUUGAUGUGUAAACCCCUCUCAGACAGUGUGUGUGUGAUGUGUAACCCCUCUCAGACAGUGUGUGUGUGAUGUGUACACCUCUGACGUGUGUAUUGUACCCCUCUCAGGCAGUGUGGGUGGGGAUGUGUAACCCCUCUCAGACAGUGUGUGUGUGAUGUGUAACCCCUCCA